AAGUCCUGCAGUGCAAGCCACGUCGGGUUGCAAACCCGAAAACGUCAAUAGAGUGACCUGGGCU
rnacentral:tRNA from 1 species